GCGCAGCAGUCGCGAAACUUCACAAUGUGCGAAAGCACGAUGAGGGAAUCCCAAGUGCUUGCUCGUAAGAGUAAGCUGUUUCUCUGUCUAAAACGCAGAGAGAGUAAGGGCUGGGUAAGACGGGUGCCAGCCGCCGCGGUAAUACCUGCAGCUCGAGUGGUGGCCGCUAUUAUUGGGCCUAAAACGUCCGUAGCCGGUUUAUUAAAUGCCUGGGUAAAUCGGACCGCUUAACGGUUCGAAUUCCGGGUAGACUGAUAAACUUGAGACCGGGAGAAGCUAGAGGUACUCCUGGGGUAGAGGUGAAAUUCUGUAAUCCUAGGGGGACCACCAGUGGCGAAGGCGUCUAGCUAGAACGGGUCUGACGGUGAGGGACGAAGCCCUGGGGCGCAAACGGGGAUUAGAUACCCCCGGUAGU
rnacentral:rRNA from 1 species